rnacentral:rRNA from 1 species
GACGUAGGGGGCCAGCGUUGUUCGGAAGUUACUGGGUGUAAAGGGUUCGUAGGCGGUGCGGCAAGUUGGGAGUGAAAUCUCUGGGCUUAACCCAGAGGCUGCUUCCAAAACUGCUGUGCUUGAGUGUGGGAGAGGCGCGUGGAAUUGCAGGUGUAGCGGUGAAAUGCGUAGAUAUCUGCAGGAACACCCGUGGCGAAAGCGGCGCGCUGGACCACUACUGACGCUGAGGAACGAAAGCUAGGGGAGCAAACAGG